rnacentral:rRNA from 1 species
CUUGGUCAUUUAGAGGAAGUAAAAGUCGUAACAAGGUUUCCGUAGGUGAACNUGCGGAAGGAUCAUUAAAAAGUGGUGGUGUCAAUCACCCCCCUAGGCUACUGAUGCUUGAGCUUGCUCUUGCUAACUAGCCUAGGCCACUUCACCCUUGAUAAAAUACCAUUGUUGCUUUGGCAGGUCGUGGCCUCGGCCCGCAGCGCCUGCCAGAGGACCCAAACUCUUUUGUUAUGUGACGUCUGAGUACUAUAUAAUAGUUAAAACUUUCAACAACGGAUCUCUUGGUUCUGGCAUCGAUGAAGAACGCAGCGAAAUGCGAUAAGUAAUGUGAAUUGCAGAAUUCAGUGAAUCAUCGAAUCUUUGAACGCACAUUGCGCCCCUUGGUAUUCCGGGGGGCAUGCCUGUUCGAGCGUCAUUACAACCACUCAAGCCUGGCUUGGUGUUGGGGUUCGCCUUCUGGUGGCCCCUAAAAUCAGUGGCGGUGCCGUCUGGCUCUAAGCGUAGUAAUUCUUCUCGCUAUAGGGUCCUGGCGGUGCUCGCCAUCAACCCCAAAUUUUUUAGGUUGACCUCGGAUCAGGUAGGGAUACCCGCUG